rnacentral:rRNA from 1 species
GACGAACGCUGGCGGCGUGCUUAACACAUGCAAGUCGAACGGUAAGGCCCUUCGGGGUACACGAGUGGCGAACGGGUGAGUAACACGUGGGUGAUCUGCCCUGCACUUCGGGAUAAGCCUGGGAAACUGGGUCUAAUACCGGAUAGGACCACUGCCUGCAUGGGUGGUGGUGGAAAGCUUUUGCGGUGUGGGAUGGGCGCGCGGCCUAUCAGCUUGUUGGUGGGGUGAUGGCCUACCAAGGCGACGACGGGUAGCCGGCCUGAGAGGGUGACCGGACACACCGGGACUGAGAUACGGUCCAGACUCCUACGGGAGGCAGCAGUGGGGAAUAUUGCACAAUGGGCGCAAGCCUGAUGCAGCGACGCCGCGUGAGGGAUGACGGCCUUCGGGUUGUAAACCUCUUUCAGCACCGACGAAGCGCAAGUGACGGUAGGUGCAGAAGAAGGACCGGCCAACUACGUGCCAGCCGCCGCGGUAA